AAGUCGUAACAAGGUCUCCGUUGGUGAACCAGCGGAGGGAUCAUUACCGAGUCACGUGCUCAAACAACCCUUCUGUGGACCUGAACCAAACCGUUGCCUCGGCGGGCGGUCCCCUGCCAAAACCCACGUGGUGUAGGCAGGGGACCAGACAGUCCGGUACGCUUUGAGGCGUCCGGCGCCAGCCGUUGGCCCUAAACAAUUAAACUCUAGUAACCUUACCUUCUGAGUUUUAAUAAAAAAAUAAGUCAAAACUUUCAACAACGGAUCUCUUGGCUCUG
rnacentral:misc_RNA from 1 species